GACGAACGCUGGCGGCGUGCUUAACACAUGCAAGUCGAACGGAAAGGCCCUGCUUUUGUGGGGUGCUCGAGUGGCGAACGGGUGAGUAACACGUGAGUAACCUGCCCUUGACUUUGGGAUAACUUCAGGAAACUGGGGCUAAUACCGGAUAGGAGCUCCUGCUGCAUGGUGGGGGUUGGAAAGUUUCGGCGGUUGGGGAUGGACUCGCGGCUUAUCAGCUUGUUGGUGGGGUAGUGGCUUACCAAGGCUUUGACGGGUAGCCGGCCUGAGAGGGUGACCGGCCACAUUGCGACUGAAAUACGGCCCAGACUCCUACGGGAGGCAGCAGUGGGGAAUAUUGCACAAUGGGCGGAAGCCUGAUGCAGCAACGCCGCGUGCGGGAUGACGGCCUUCGGGUUGUAAACCGCUUUCGCCUGUGACGAAGCGUGAGUGACGGUAAUGGGUAAAGAAGCACCGGCUAACUACGUG
rnacentral:rRNA from 1 species